UACAGAGGGGGCAAGCGUUGUUCGGAAUUACUGGGCGUAAAGGGCGCGUAGGCGGCCUGUUAAGUCGAACGUGAAAUCCCCGGGCUCAACCCGGGAACUGCGUCCGAUACUGGCAGGCUUGAAUCCGGGAGAGGGAUGCGGAAUUCCAGGUGUAGCGGUGAAAUGCGCAGAUAUCGGGAAGAACACCCGUGGCUAAGGCGGCUCUCUAGUACGGUACUGACGCUGAGACGCGAAAGCGUGGGGAGCGAACAGG
rnacentral:rRNA from 1 species